CAUCGGUGACAGGUGGUGGCAUGGUUGUCGUCAGCUCGUGUCGUGAGAUGUUGGUUAAGUCCCGCAACGAGCGCAACCCCUAUUGUUAGUUGCCAUCAUUCAGUUGGGCACUCUAGCGAGACUGCCGGUAAUAAACCGGAGGAAGGUGGGGAUGACGUCAAAUCAUCAUGCCCCUUAUGACCUGGGCUACACACGUGCUACAAUGGUUGGUACAACGAGUUGCGAGUCGGUGACGGCGAGCUAAUCUCUUAAAGCCAAUCUCAGUUCGGAUUGUAGGCUGCAACUCGCCUACAUGAAGUCGGAAUCGCUAGUAAUCGCGGAUCAGCACGCCGCGGUGAAUACGUUCCCGGGCCUU
rnacentral:rRNA from 1 species